GCGCCGGCAGUGCAACGGGUUAGAGCAUGCAACCCUGAAUAGGAUAAAAUGCGGGUUUGAGUCCCGUCUGGCACA